GGAAAGGAUCUCUUGCUGAAGAUCUCUCCCUUUGGAGUUUUCUACUGUAAGCCUAUGAUAUGGAUCCAUUUUUUGAAGAUCUGGACCGUUGGUUCCUGAAGCUUUCUGGUGAUAGCCUCAGACUCUUCAGGUCUGUGGAGGAAAUUACAUCUACUAGAACUGGAGUUACUUCAGAGAAGUAGCUGUACAAGGGAUGACUGCUGGCACUUCAUUUCAAAUUGAUAAAAAAAAAAAAAAGGAAAUUCUUAACAGACUUCAAAGGUUGUUGAAGAGAUGACUGUCUUCUGGAAGGCCACCAGGAAAGCAAGCAGAGUGAGUUGUCAAAACAGAAAAAUAAAGUUUCAGGUCCCCAGAACAACAGACAUUUCCACAGCGAGUAUAAAGGAACUGCAGUGCUACCAUCUUACAUCCACCUCACCAAAGGAAAACUAGAUUGAAUUAUUAUUGAAAGAAAAUACCAAAGUAAUAAUAAACUCUAUUUUAGAAGAAGUUUAUUGACACUUUAUAGUCACAGAAAAAUUUUGGUGACUAAUGGUGACUUUGGCAGAUGCAAUCAUUUUUGAAUGAUUUAGCUCUCUGGGAAACGUCUAACCUAAUUCAUUUCACACAGUACAUUGUUAUGUGUAUAUUAAAUGGUUGGCUCGUCUUCAUCAAGACAAUUAUAAUAAAAACUUUAACUAGUUCCUCACUUAUGAAGUUAUAAUCUUCACAACCUCAUUUCAGUAAGUUAGAAACUGACAGUAUAUUGAGAAUUAGCGUCUAAAAAUCCCAUCUUUAACUGAGAAGUUGACUUACAUAGGGCAUUUUGAAUAUUAUGAGUUUUAAGUAGAAAAAAAAAUUGUAUUCAAAAACACCUGAUUUUCAAAGUAUACGUCCUAUCUUUGAUAUAGUGCAUCUUAAGGACAUUUUAAAAUUUCUAUGUGGCAUUAUUAUUUCACAGUCAGAUUCUAAUUGCAACAUUUAUUAAACAGCAAUGUGGAUCAAACAAAAUUAUAGAACAUUUUUUUCAGAAUAAGUAAUCUCAUUGAAAGGAACACAUGUUGCUAAAUUUUAUUAGUUGUAAGAUCAUUUCCAAUAAGAGAAAAUUUCACUUCUUGCUUUCUUGAUUUGGUUCCAUGAUAAAAUAUUUUCAUAAGUUAUGAAAUGAUUUUUCUUUAUUUGGCAUUUAAGUUUAUGCAUCUAUCAAUACUAUGAACUAACUUAUUGAAAGAAUUACUAAAUUUUACAAAAUAAAUAUUUCUAUUUUGAUAUAAUUUUUCAUAGUUCGGGUUCUUUCCAGAAUUUGUAAUUUUAACAGCUUCCUAUACUAGUAUCACAACUAGUUUAAACGUGAAAUUUCAAUUUAAUAUGUAUCUUCUGCAUUGUCAUGAAAUCAAGCUAAGAAAUUCUGAAAUUAUGUAGAUAAUCAAUGGAGUAUUUUUUAUAUUCCAAGUAUGAGUUUUCAUGCAUUAGAGAAAUAUUUCUUCAGUUUGUUUCCCUUAAACUUGUUUGGAUUUCAAAACUUAAAUGACUAAUUCUGAUCUUCAGUUUUAUAGUUUCACUAGCACUUGUUCAAACAAAAUUUAUGAUUAUCUUUCAGUCAUAAAUUUUAAAAUAUAUUUGCUAUCCUGGCCCAGUGAAGCUACUGACAGUAGAGUGAUUAUCAGAAAUUAGCAACGACAUGCCUAAAGUGAUGCAUUAGUACAACUAUUGAGUUAUGUCUUCCAUAGUUACAGAUGUUGUUUUUUUCUGUUCAAGAAGUGUUUCUAAAUUCAACAUUCAGAAAAAAUAAAAGGUGGUUGUUUUUUUUUGUUUUUUUUUUCCCUACAAUGUUUUUUAUGUGCACAUGAAAUUGUCUUUUCAGGAAACACACUGGACUGCUCAUUUAUCAAAUUUCCCAGUAAGUCCUUUGGGGGCUUUCAUUCAGCUCUCUUGAAAAUGAUGAGCUUCUCAAAGAAUUAAAACUUCUCCAAACUGUCUCAUCAUCCCUUUCAUAUUUCUUUUGCCAUGAUAGCUAUAAAACAAACAAACAAACAAACAGAGUGAGUAAAUAGCAACAGUUUUAUGGCUGUAAUUACUACCUACCAGGUUGUUCAUGAUCAUUUGGUUGUUCUAUUGCUCUCUUCUUGGGCUUAUUGAAGCCACUUUUUUCACUGCAGUAAGUUCACUUUCUGG
rnacentral:lncRNA from 7 species